UACGAGAGGCGCAAACGUUAUUCGGAAUUACUGGGCUUAAAGAGUUCGUAGGCGGCGCAGAAAGUAGGGUGUGAAAGCCCUCGGCUUAACCGAGGAAUUGCGCUCUAAACUACUGUGCUUGAGGGACCUAGAGGUGAGCGGAACUGAUGGUGGAGCGGUGAAAUGCGUUGAUAUCAUCAGGAACACCGGAGGCGAAGGGCGGCUCACUGGGGGUCUUCUGACGCUGAGGAACGAAAGCCAGGGGCAGCGAACGGG
rnacentral:rRNA from 1 species